AGAGCUUCAGAUGUCUUAGAGUUGAUACAUACAGAUAUUUGUGGGUCAUUCCCUACACCUUGUUGAAAUGGUCAACAAUACUUUAUCACAUUCAUAGAUGAUUACUCUCGUUAUGGAUACCUAUAUCNNNNCCUACACCUUGUAGAAAUGGUCAACAAUACUUUAUCACAUUCAUAGACGAUUACUCUCGUUAUGGGUACCUAUAUCUCAUUCAUGAAAAGUCCCAAUCAAUAGACGUGUUCAAAUCAUAUAAGGCCGAAGUUGAAACAACUAAGCAAAAGGAUUAAAACCGUUAGAUCUGACCGUGGUGGUGAAUACUAUGGUAGAUAUGAUGGUUCAGGUGAACAACGUCCACGGCCAUUUGCAAAAUUCCUAGA
rnacentral:lncRNA from 1 species